rnacentral:misc_RNA from 1 species
AAUCCGAGAAUUUCACCUCCAACCGUGUAAUACAAAUACCCCCAAAUAUCCCUGUUAAUCAUUACCUUAGCUUUAGAAACCAACAAAAUAAAACCAAGGUCUUAUAUCAUUAUUCCAUGCUAAUAUAUUCAAGGCGCCUGCCUGCCGUAAACACUCUAAUUUCCUCAAAGUAAAAGUCCUGAAAUCCUGACCACUCAAUGAAGGGCAGCACAGUCUUUCAGAAGGAUGCCGAGAUCGAAGCAAAUACGCCUUCGGAGAAGGGACCACCCAACCUCAACAGAAAUCCAACUACGAGCUUUUUAACCGCAACAACUUUAAUAUACGCUAUUGGAGCUGGAAUUACCGC